CAAGCGUUGUCCGGAAUUAUUGGGCGUAAAGAGCUCGUAGGCGGUCUGUCACGUCGGCUGUGAAAUCCCGAGGCUCAACCUCGGGUCUGCAGUCGAUACGGGCAAACUAGAGUAUUGCAGGGGAGACUGGAAUUCCUGGUGUAGCGGUGAAAUGCGCAGAUAUCAGGAGGAACACCGGUGGCGAAGGCGGGUCUCUGGGCAAUAACUGACGCUGAGGAGCGAAAGCGUGGGGAGCGAACAGG
rnacentral:rRNA from 1 species